CCAAUUGAUGACGAGGAAUUGAUCUUCUACAUCCUCACGGGCCUCGAUCUUGAGUACAACCCCAUCGUGUCAGCUGUUGUUACAAGGACUGAUGCGUUGACUAUGGGAGAGGUGUACUCACAGCUACUCAGCUUCGAGC